rnacentral:rRNA from 1 species
UACGUAGGGGGCAAGCGUUGUCCGGAAUUACUGGGUGUAAAGGGAGCGCAGGCGGGAAGCCAAGUCAGCUGUGAAAACUACGGGCUUAACUUGUAGACUGCAGUUGAAACUGGUUUUCUUGAGUGAAGUAGAGGUUGGCGGAAUUCCGAGUGUAGCGGUGAAAUGCGUAAAUAUUAGGAGGAACACCAGUGGCGAAGGCGGCCUGCUGGGCUUUAACUGACGCUGAGGCUCGAAAGCGUGGGUAGCAAACAGG